rnacentral:tRNA from 1 species
GCCUUUAUAGCUCAGUCGGUAGAGCGCAUCCAUGGUAAGGAUGAGGUCAUCGGUUCGAUCCCGAUUAAAGGCUCCA